GGAGGCGUGCGAGCGCCUGGUGGGCUCCCCGGCCUUCAAAGCCGGCGGACCCGAGCAUCUCGGGUCGGCGGGUUCGAUUCCCGUACGCCUCCGCCA
rnacentral:tRNA from 1 species